rnacentral:rRNA from 1 species
GGGUUUAAUUCGAUGAUACGCGAGGAACCUUACCCGGGCUUGAAUUGCAGAGGAAGGAUUUGGAGACAAUGACGCCCUUCGGGGCCUCUGUGAAGGUGCUGCAUGGUUGUCGUCAGCUCGUGCCGUGAGGUGUCGGCUUAAGUGCCAUAACGAGCGCAACCCCUCUCCUUAGUUGCCAUCAGGUCAGGCUGGGCACUCUGGGGACACUGCCACCGUAAGGUGUGA